rnacentral:lncRNA from 1 species
AAGCGACUGCAGUCCUUUGGCACUAAGAAACAAUGAUUCUACCUACCUCCAGCUACUGCUGACUGCUGGGGACCUUGUGAAUCCUUGUGCUGGCUCAGGUGUGUGUAGGUGAUUCUCUUCCAUCAAACAGCAUAUCAGAAGAGAAGUGAUGAACUUGCCUUCUCCCCAGUUUAUUAAGUCCAAGGCCAGUGUUGCACGCAUUAAGGUAGAUAAGUGUAUGGUGUCCCUUGCAGGAACCAAUUGUAAGCUGGAUGGGUAGUCUAAACUCUGUGCCCAAUAUAAGAAGGACAGAGCAGAGUCUGUCAAGAGUCUUUGCAUGUUAAAGAUUGGCUAACAUACUCUCUCAGCCCUUGGCAUCAUGGAAAAUACAAAUGUUCUGGCUCAUUAUGCCAGGAUUGGCUACCAGAAAGACAUUGUACCCAUAGUGGUGCCUGAAAUCCUCUGUGAUGGGGACCAUGGAUUGAAGCUAUUGGCUGGAUACAAGACUACAAGUGACUGCCAUGUCUAUCUGGAAGGCACAUUUCUGGAGCUCAACAUGGGAACCCCAGCCAUACUUUCACCCAGAAAAUUGCCAUGACAACUAUCACAGUACUUCAUCACACAAUGCCCCCUCCAAACCCUGGAGUCAUUUUCAUGUCUGGAGAGAAGAGAGACAAAAAGUUUCCCAUCAACUUCAAUGCUAUUAGUAAGUGGUCCCUGCUGAAGCUUUAACUUUCUCCCAUGGCCAAGCUAUGCAGGCCUUUGCUCUGGAGGCCGGAGGAGGGAAGAAGGAGAAAGUAACAUCUUCCCAGGAGGAGUACAUCAAGCAACCUCUGAACAAAAGGCUUGCUUAUCAAGAUAAGUACAUCUCAAAUGUUCAAUCUGGAGCCAGAGUCAGUGAAACUAUUUCUAACCAUUCCUAG